GAUGAACGCUGGCGGCGUGCCUAACACAUGCAAGUCGAACGAAACACCUUACCUGAUUCUUCGGAUGAAAGUUUGGUGACUGAGUGGCGGACGGGUGAGGAACGCGUGGGUAACCUGCCCUGUACAGGGGGAUAACAGCUGGAAACGGCUGCUAAUACCGCAUAAGCGCACGAGGAGACAUCUCCUUGUCUGAAAAACGCCGGUGCUACAGGAUGGGCCCGCGUCUGAUUAGCUGGUUGGCAGGGUAACGGCCUACCAAGGCAACGAUCAGUAGCCGGUCUGCGAGGAUGAGCGGCCACAUUGGACGUGAGACACGGUCGAAACUCCUACGGGAGGCAGCAGUGGGGAAUAUUGCACAAGGGGGGAAACCCUGAUGCAGCAACGCCGCGUGAGUGAAGAAGUAUUUCGGUAUGUAAAGCUCUAUCAGCAGGGAAGAUCAUGACGGUACCUGACUAAGAAGCUCCGGCUAAAUACGUG
rnacentral:rRNA from 1 species